rnacentral:rRNA from 1 species
UAGGGAAUCUUCCACAAUGGACGCAAGUCUGAUGGAGCAACGCCGCGUGAGUGAAGAAGGUCUUCGGAUCGUAAAACUCUGUUGUUAGAGAAGAACACGAGUGAGAGUAACUGUUCAUUCGAUGACGGUAUCUAACCAGCUAGUCACGGCUAACUACGUGCCCG